AUGACCAUGCAUGAGUUGGUAACUGCUUCAUUUCUGGUACUCAGGCUGUGUUCGCACCUCCAAUUGGCAUACAACUUGAAAGAGAAAAGGUACAACAUGGCGCAUGUAGCCGGUUUGCUCGCCUCGGCUGUGGUCUCAGCGGUGGGCAAUAAGCUGGGUUCUGCCAUUGGGGAUGAGGUCAUGAUGCUGUGCAGCUUCAAGGACGACCUCAAGGACAUGAAGGACACGUUAGAGUACAUGGAGGCGGCGCUCAAGGAUGCUGAGAGGCGGUCUGUCACGGAGGAGUUGGUGCGGCUGUGGCUCAACCGGCUCAAGCACGCUGCCUACGACAUCUCUUACAUGCUCGACGAGUUCCAAGCUAAUAGUGAACCAGCCUCCAGAAAGAUGAUUGGGAAGCUGGACUGUUUUGCUAUUGCACUCAAGAUUACCAUGGCUUAUAAGAUGAAGAAGAUGAGAGGUCAGCUGAGGAAGAUCAAAGAUGAUCACGAGAGUUUCAAAUUCACACAUGAUAACUCCAGCCUAAUUAGUGUGCACCAGUUUCCUGAUCGACGGGAAACAACAUCAGAUGUGAUUGAAUCACUCAUCAUAGGGAGAGACAAAGACAGGAUGAAUGUUCUUUCUUUGUUAGCCACAAGCAGCAACAAAGAAGAUACUACAAUUCUUCCUAUCUGUGGGCUUGGAGGCAUAGGAAAGACAACUUUGGCACAACUGGUCUUCAAUGAUGGUCAGUUCAAAGAUUAUAAUCAUCGGGUAUGGGUCUAUGUAUCCCAGGUGUUUGACUUGAAAAAAAUUGGGAACUCCAUAAUUUCUCAAGUAGAAAAAGGAAGCCAAAAUCUAGAUACAAGGCAGUUGAUAAACCAACAUCUUAAACAUCUACUUCAAGAUAAGAAGACUCUAAUUGUUUUGGAUGACCUAUGGGAGACAGAUAACUUCCAACUGGAUCAACUCAAGCUUAUGUUGAAUGUAAGCUCCAAGAUGAGAGUUUUAGUCACAACACGCAGCAUAGACAUUGCAAGAAAAAUCUGUACUGUUGAAGCAUAUAUGCUAGAUCCCUUGGACAAUGAUAUGUGUUGGAGAAUAAUCAAGCAAAACAGUGGCUUUGAAUCUAGAGCUGAUAAAGAGAAAGUUGAACCAGUUGGACAGAUGAUUGCAAGGAAAUGUGGAGGUUUGCCAUUGGCAGCUCAAGCACUUGGAUUCUUGCUAUCUGGAAUGGAUCUUACUGACUGGGAAGCAAUGUGUAAUACUGAUAUUUGGGAUGAACCAUUUUCCGACAGUACAGUGUUACCAUCCUUGAAGUUAAGUUACAAUACUUUGACACCAUAUUUGAGGUUAUGCUUUGCCUAUUGUGGCAUCUUUCGUAAAGGUCACAGUAUAAGUAAAGAUGAUCUUAUCCAGCAAUGGAUUGCUCUGGGUUUCAUUGAGCCAUCUAAUAACUUUUCGGCCAUACAACUUGGCGAGAAGUAUGUUAGGCAAUUCCUUGGGAUGUCUUUCCUUCAGCAUACACAAUUGCCCGAGAUAUUUGCAAAAACAAUCUUGACCAUGCACGAUCUGGUGCAUGAUCUCGCAAGAUCAGUCAUUGCUGAAGAGUUGGUUGUCUUUGAUGCUGAAAUAGGGAGCGAUGCUAGAAGAAAAGAAUACUGCCACUAUGUGUCUCUUACAAACUGUAAUAUUUCAGAUUACAUCAAGGCAAGGAAAAUGUCAACUAUUUUCCCACCUAAGUUAAGGGCGAUACAUUUUACAGACUGUGAAUUUCAUGGUGGUGCAUUUUCAUUUCCAAAGUGCUUGCGUGUCUUGGAUCUAUCUGGAUGCCCCAUCACAGAGUUUCCAAGCGCUCUAGGACAACUGAAGCAACUGGAGGUUCUUAUUGCUCCGAGGCUGCAAGAUCGGGAACUACAGAAGCACACGCUCGCCGUGAUCAAUCAGCUGAAACGAUGGGAGUAUGCCUUCUCCAUGAAAGCAUAA
rnacentral:rRNA from 1 species